rnacentral:rRNA from 1 species
GACGAACGCUGGCGGCGUGCUUAACACAUGCAAGUCGAACGCUGAAGCUUGGUGCUUGCACUGGGUGGAUGAGUGGCGAACGGGUGAGUAAUACGUGAGUAACCUGCCCUUGACUCUGGGAUAAGCCUGGGAAACUGGGUCUAAUACUGGAUACGACAUGUCACCGCAUGGUGGUGUGUGGAAAGGGUUUUACUGGUUUUGGAUGGGCUCACGGCCUAUCAGCUUGUUGGUGGGGUAAUGGCUCACCAAGGCGACGACGGGUAGCCGGCCUGAGAGGGUGACCGGCCACACUGGGACUGAGACACGGCCCAGACUCCUACGGGAGGCAGCAGUGGGGAAUAUUGCACAAUGGGCGGAAGCCUGAUGCAGCGACGCCGCGUGAGGGAUGACGGCCUUCGGGUUGUAAACCUCUUUCAGCACGGAAGAGGCGAAAGUGACGGUACGUGCAGAAGAAGCGCCGGCUAACUACGUG